GAUGAACGCUGGCGGCGUGCCUAAUACAUGCAAGUCGAGCGAACAGACGAGGAGCUUGCUCCUCUGACGUUAGCGGCGGACGGGUGAGUAACACGUGGAUAACCUACCUAUAAGACUGGGAUAACUUCGGGAAACCGGAGCUAAUACCGGAUAAUAUAUUUAACCGCAUGGUUCAAUAGUGAAAGACGGUUUUGCUGUCACUUAUAGAUGGAUCCGCGCCGCAGUAGCUAGUUGGUAAGGUAACGGCUUACCAAGGCAACGAUGCGUAGCCGACCUGAGAGGGUGAUCGGCCACACUGGAACUGAGACCCGGUCCAGACUCCUACGGGAGGCAGCAGUAGGGAAUCGUCCGCAAUGGGCGAAAGCCUGACGGAGCAACGCCGCGUGAGUGAUGAAGGUCUUCGGAUCGUAAAACUCUGUUAUUAGGGAAGAACAAAUGUGUAAGUAACUAUGCACGUCUUGACGGUACCUAAUCAGAAAGCCACGGCUAACUACGUG
rnacentral:rRNA from 1 species